GAUCAUGGCUCAGGAUGAACGCUAGCUACAGGCUUAACACAUGCAAGUCGAGGGGCAGCAUGGUCUUAGCUUGCCAAGGCCGAUGGCGACCGGCGCACGGGUGAGUAACACGUAUCCAACCUGCCGUCUACUCUUGGACAGCCUUCUGAAAGGGAGAUUAAUACAAGAUGGCAUCAUGAGUCCGCAUGUUCACAUGAUUAAAGGUAUUCCGGUAGACGAUGGGG
rnacentral:rRNA from 1 species